AGGGGUAUCGGUUAAUUGGUAAACCAGCGGUCUCCAAAACCGCGACUGCGGGUUCGAGUCCUGCUACCCCUGCCA
rnacentral:tRNA from 3 species